GGCUCAGGACGAACGCUGGCGGCAUGCCUAACACAUGCAAGUCGAACGGAGUUAAGAGAGCUUGCUUUUUAACUUAGUGGCGGACGGGUGAGUAACGCGUGAGCAAUCUGCCUUUCAGUGGGGAAUAAUGUUCUGAAAAGAGCACUAAUACCGCAUAAUGUAUGAUCGUCGCAUGACGGACAUACCAAAGAUUUAUCGCUGAGAGAUGAGCUCGCGUCCGAUUAGCCGGUUGGCGGGGUAACGGCCCCACCAAAGCUACGAUCGGUAGCCGGACUGAGAGGUUGAACGGCCACAUUGGGACUGAGACACGGCCCAGACUCCUACGGGAGGCAGCAGGUGGGGGAUAUUGCGCAAGUGGGGGAAACCCUGACGCAGCAAUGCCGCGUGAAGGAUGAAGGUCUUCGGAUUGUAAACUUCUUUUGUCAGGGACGAAAAUGACGGUACCUGACGAAUAAGCUCCGGCUAACUACGUGCCAGCCGCCGC
rnacentral:rRNA from 1 species